rnacentral:rRNA from 1 species
UACGAAGGGGGCUAGCGUUGUUCGGAAUUACUGGGCGUAAAGGGCGCGCAGGCGGUCCUUCAAGUCAGGCGUGAAAGCCCCGGGCUCAACCUGGGAAUAGCGCUUGAGACUGAGGGACUUGAGUUCGGGAGAGGAGAGCGGAAUUCCCAGUGUAGAGGUGAAAUUCGUAGAUAUUGGGAAGAACACCGGUGGCGAAGGCGGCUCACUGGCCCGGUACUGACGCUGAGGUGCGAAAGCGUGGGGGAGCAAACA